rnacentral:rRNA from 1 species
GAGCGGCGAACGGGUGAGUAACACGUGGGUAACCUGCCCUUCACUCUGGGACAACUCCGGGAAACCGGGGCUAAUACCGGAUACGACCCUUUGAGGCAUCUCUCGGGGUGGAAAGUUUUUCGGUGAAGGAUGGACCCGCGGCCUAUCAGCUUGUUGGUGGGGUAAUGGCCUACCAAGGCAGUGACGGGUAGCCGGCCUGAGAGGGCGACCGGCCACACUGGGACUGAGACACGGCCCAGACUCCUACGGGAGGCAGCAGUGGGGAAUAUUGCGCAAUGGGCGGAAGCCUGACGCAGCGACGCCGCGUGAGGGAUGACGGUCUUCGGAUUGUAAACCUCUUUCAGCAGGGACGAAGCGCAAGUGACGGUACCUGCAGAAGAAGCACCGGCCAACUACGUGCCAGCAGCCGCGGUAAUACGUAGGGUGCAAGCGUUGUCCGGAAUUAUUGGGCGUAAAGAGCUCGUAGGCGGCUUGUCACGUCGACUGUGAAAACCCGGGGCUCAACUCCGGGCCUGCAGUCGAUACGGGCUGGCUUGAGUGCGGUAGGGGAGACUGGAAUUCCU